GCGACAGCGACCGCGCGGCCGCCGCUACGAAGCGAAAACGCCGAGACAGCGCGGCCGAGUGGUGCACAUGCGGUUCGUGCCGCUCAAUGGACACGGGACGCGAAGACGUCUGCUGUCGGGACGUGCCGGCAGCAAUGCAAAAAAUGCCCGUGGGGUGCGUCGCAACAGCCGCAGAAUUUCAGGCGUCGUGCCUCACAGAAAUUGUGGUGCAAUUAGCAUGCAGAUGCUUGAAAACCAGGGAGUUUUCAGGAACACCCCACUGCAUGAGAGAUACCGCCAUGUUGCCUACAAACAAUGUGCAUCGUGGCUUUGGGGGCGCCUCGAAGAGGGAGAUAGGCGUGUGCUGCCAUCCUGCGUAGUGUGGGCCAUCCGGGACAAGUUUCCGUCUACGUUUUAUACAGGGUUCAAACCUGCACAAUAGUAGU